AUUGAACGCUGGCGGCAGGCUUAACACAUGCAAGUCGAGCGGAGAUGAGGUGCUUGCACCUUAUCUUAGCGGCGGACGGGUGAGUAAUGCUUAGGAAUCUUCCUAUUAGUGGGGGACAACAUUCCGAAAGGAAUGCUAAUACCGCAUACGCCCUACGGGGGAAAGCAGGGGAUCUUCGGACCUUGCGCUAAUAGAUGAGCCUAAGUCGGAUUAGCUAGUUGGUGGGGUAAAGGCCUACCAAGGCGACGAUCUGUAGCGGGUCUGAGAGGAUGAUCCGCCACACUGGGACUGAGACACGGCCCAGACUCCUACGGGAGGCAGCAGUGGGGAAUAUUGGACAAUGGGCGGAAGCCUGAUCCAGCCAUGCCGCGUGUGUGAAGAAGGCCUUUUGGUUGUAAAGCACUUUAAGCGAGGAGGAGGCUACUGGUAUUAAUACUCUGGGAUAGUGGACGUUACUCGCAGAAUAAGCACCGGCUAACUCUGUGCCAGCCGCCGCCGUAAUAC
rnacentral:rRNA from 1 species